GAACGCUGGCGGCGUGCUAACACAUGCAAGUCGCGCGUGAAAGGACUUCGGUCCGAGUAAAGCGGCGCACGGGUGAGUAACGCGUGGAUGAUCUACCCAUGAGUUAGGAAUAACGGCUGGGAACGGUCGCUAAUACCAAAUACGCUCCGAUUUCAACUUCGGGGGAAAGGUGGCCUCUGCUUGCAAGCUACUGCUCAUGGAUGAGUCCGCGUCCCAUUAGCUAGUUGGUGGGGUAACGGCCCACCAAGGCGACGAUGGGUAGCCGGUCUGAGAGGAUGACCGGCCACACUGGGACUGGAACACGGCCCAGACUCCUACGGGAGGCAGCAGUGGGAAUAUUGCGCAAUGGGCGAAAGCCUGACGCAGCGACGCCGCGUGAGGGAAUGAAGGUCCUCGGAUCGUAAACCUCUGUCAGGAGGGAAGAACCGCCACGGUGCUAAUCAGCCGUGGUCUGACGGUACCUCCAAAGGAAGCACCGGCUAACUCCGUGCCAGCCGCGGC
rnacentral:rRNA from 1 species